rnacentral:rRNA from 1 species
CGGGAACUCAAAGGAGACUGCCGGUGAUAAACCGGAGGAAGGUGGGGAUGACGUCAAGUCAUCAUGGCCCUUACGAGUAGGGCUACACACGUGCUACAAUGGCGCAUACAAAGAGAAGCGACCUCGCGAGAGCAAGCGGACCUCACAAAGUGCGUCGUAGUCCGGAUCGGAGUCUGCAACUCGACUCCGUGAAGUCGGAAUCGCUAGUAAUCGUGGAUCAGAAUGCCACGGUGAAUACGUUCCCGGGCCUUGUACACACCGCCCGUCACACCAUGGGAGUGGGUUGCAAAAGAAGUAGGUAGCUUAACCUUCGGGAGGGCGCUUACCACUUUGUGAUUCAUGACUGGGGUGAAGUCGUAACAAGGU